rnacentral:rRNA from 1 species
AUUGAACGCUGGCGGCAGGCUUAACACAUGCAAGUCGAGCGGGGUGAUGGUGCUUGCACUAUCACUUAGCGGCGGACGGGUGAGUAAUGCUUAGGAAUCUGCCUAUUAGUGGGGGACAACAUCGCGAAAGGGAUGCUAAUACCGCAUACGUCCUACGGGAGACAGCAGGGGAUCACUGGUGACCUUGCGCUAAUAGAUGAGCCUAAGUCGGAUUAGCUGGUUGGUGGGGUAAAGGCCUACCAAGGCGACGAUCUGUAGCGGGUCUGAGAGGAUGAUCCGCCACACUGGGACGGAGACACGGCCCAGACUCCUACGGGAGGCAGCAGUGGGGAAUAUUGGACAAUGGGGGGAACCCUGAUCCAGCCAUGCCGCGUGUGUGAAGAAGGCCUUAUGGUUGUAAAGCACUUUAAGCGAGGAGGAGGCUCUUUUGGUUAAUACCCAAGAUGAGUGGACGUUACUCGCAGAAUAAGCACCGGCUAACUCUGUGCCAGCCGCCGCCGUAA